rnacentral:rRNA from 1 species
UACGUAGGCAGCGAGCGUUGUUCGGAGUUACUGGGCGUAAAGGGUGUGUAGGCGGUUGUUUAAGUUUGGGGUGAAAUCUCCCGGCUCAACUGGGAGGGUGCGCCGAAUACUGAAUGACUUCGAGUGCGGGAGAGGAAAGUGGAAUUCCUGGUGUAGCGGUGAAAUGCGUAGAUAUCAGGAGGAACACCGGUGGCGAAAGCGGCCACCUGGACUGCACCUGACGCUGACACGCGAAAGCUAGGGGAGCGAACGGG